rnacentral:rRNA from 1 species
ACAGAGGGUGCGAGCGUUAAUCAGAUUUACUGGGCGUAAAGCGUGAGUAGGUGGCUCGCUAAGUCGAUUGUGAAAGCCCUGGGCUCAACCUGGGAAUUGCAGUCGAUACUGGAGAGCUCGAGUUCGGUAGAGGGUGACGGAAUUCCCGGUGUAGCGGUGAAAUGCGUAGAUAUCGGGAGGAACAUCGAUGGCGAAGGCAAUCACCUGGGCCUGAACUGACACUGAGACACGAAAGCGUGGGUAGCAAACAGGA